CGUGCUUCUUUGCAUGCCCAUACUGUAUUUUGAUAUGGAAUGUAAAGAAGUAUGUA
rnacentral:pre_miRNA from 1 species